AGAAUCAACGCUGGCGGCGUGCCUAACACAUGCAAGUCGCACGGAGAAAGGGGUAGACGAAUACCCUGAGUAAAGUGGCGCACGGGUGAGUAACACGUGAAUUAUCUACCUCCGAGUGGGGAAUAACUGAGAGAAAUCUUAGCUAAUACCGCAUAACACUUACGAGUCAAAGCAGCAAUGCGCUUGGAGAGGAGUUCGCGGCCGAUUAGUUAGUUGGCGGGGUAAUGGCCCACCAAGACGAUGAUCGGUA
rnacentral:rRNA from 1 species